UACGUAGGGUGCGAGCGUUGUCCGGAAUUAUUGGGCGUAAAGCGCGUGUAGGCGGCUUGGUAAGUCGGGUGUGAAAUCCCUCAGCUCAACUGGGGAACUGCGUCUGAGACUGGUCAGCUUGAGUGCAGGAGAGGAACGCGGAAUUCCAGGUGUAGCGGUGAAAUGCGUAGAUAUCUGGAGGAACACCGGUGGCGAAGGCGGCGUUCUGGACUGCAACUGACACUGAGGAACGAAAGCCAGGGGAGCAAACGGGG
rnacentral:rRNA from 1 species